AAAAAAAUGAGUUUGAGCCACUUAUCCUCAACAAAUUCGGAGUCAAGAAGUUGAAGAAGAAUGCGACACCAUCGAUAUUCAGUCACAGGAAGCAACCCUAACCAAGGAAGCCACCAGCUCAACGCGCUGUGCAAGAGGAGGUUCACAAUAGCCUGAACCCUUCAUCAUCACAAGCAUUACCGGCUCCUGUUCUGACUCUGGACAACCUCAGUAUUCUUUCCUCGGUUGCUUCUCAGAUUGAAGGUAGACUUUCUUAUCCUUGAAAUUGUACUCGGAUUGAUUAUAAGUUUCUUCUAUCAUUGAACCUAAAAUUAAACCAGUGUUUGUUGUUGCUGUUUAUGCUC